rnacentral:rRNA from 1 species
AGAGUUUGAUCAUGGCUCAGAACGAACGCUGGCGGCGUGCUUAACACAUGCAAGUCGAGUGCGCGGUUGUAGCAAUACAACUGGCGCACGGCGCACGGGUGCGUAACACGUGGGUAACCUGCCCUUUGGUGGGGAAUAACUCCGCGAAAGCGGAGCUAAUUCCGCAUAAGAUCCGCAAGGAUGAAAGCAGCAAUGCGCCGAAGGAGGGGCCCGCGCCCGAUUAGCUAGUUGGUAGGGUAACGGCCUACCAAGGCUUUGAUCGGUAGCUGGUCUGAGAGGAUGAUCAGCCACACUGGAACUGAGACACGGUCCAGACUCCUACGGGAGGCAGCAGUGGGGAAUCUUGCACAAUGGGCGAAAGCCUGAUGCAGCGACGCCGCGUGGGGGAUGAAGCAUUUCGGUGUGUAAACCCCUUUCGAUCCGGACGAAACCCCGCAAGGGAUUGGCGGUACGGAUAUAAGAAGCCCCGGCUAACUACGUGCCAGCAGCCGCGGUAAGACGUAGGGGGCCAGCGUUGUUCGGAAUUACUGGGUGUAAAGGGUUCGUAGGCGGUGCGGCAAGUUGGGAGUGAAAUCUCUGGGCUUAACCCAGAGGCUGCUUCCAAAACUGCUGUGCUUGAGUGUGGGAGAGGGCGCGUGGAAUUGCAGGUGUAGCGGUGAAAUGCGUAGAUAUCUGCAGGAACACCCGUGGCGAAAGCGGCGCGCUGGACCACUACUGACGCUGAGGAACGAAAGCUAGGGGAGCAAACAGGAUUAGAUACCCUAGUAGUCC